rnacentral:rRNA from 1 species
UAUAUUGGAGAAUGGGGGCAACCCUGAUCCAUCCAUGCCGCGUGUGUGAAGAAGGUCAUUGGCUUUUUAACCACUCGAAGUUGCGAGGAGUGUCAGUAAGUUAAUACGUGGUAGUUUGGUCGUUACAGACAGAAUAAGAACCGGCUAACUUCGUGCACGCAGCCGCCGUAAUACGAAGGGUUCAAGUGUUAAUCGGAAUUACAGGGCGUAAAGCGGGCGUAGGUGGUUCAGUAAGAUGGGUGUUAAAACCCCGGGCUUAACCUGGGAACUGCUUUAAUAACUGCUGAGCUAGAGUACGGUAGAGGGUAGUGGAAUUUCCUGUGUAGCGGUGAAAUGCGUAGAUAUAGGAAGGAACACCAGUGGCGAAGGCGACUACCUGGACUGAUACUGACACUGAGGUGCGAAAGCGUGGGGAGCAAAC